ensembl:miRNA MIR107 microRNA 107
AGCCUCUUUACAGUGCUGCCUUGUCUAAUCAUGUUCAAGCAGCAUUGUACAGGGCUAUGAC